rnacentral:rRNA from 1 species
AUUGAACGCUGGCGGCAGGCCUAACACAUGCAAGUCGAACGGUAACAGGAAGCAGCUUGCUGCUUUGCUGACGAGUGGCGGACGGGUGAGUAAUGUCUGGGAAACUUCCUGAUGGAGGGGGAUAACUACUGGAAACGGUAGCUAAUACCGCAUAACGUCGCAAGACCAAAGAGGGGGACCUUAGGGCCUCUUGCCAUCGGAUGUGCCCAGAUGGGAUUAGCUAGUAGGUGGGGUAACGGCUCACCUAGGCGACGAUCCCUAGCUGGUCUGAGAGGAUGACCAGCCACACUGGAACUGAGACACGGUCCAGACUCCUACGGGAGGCAGCAGUGGGGAAUAUUGCACAAUGGGCGCAAGCCUGAUGCAGCCAUGCCGCGUGUAUGAAGAAGGCCUUCGGGUUGUAAAGUACUUUCAGCGGGGAGGAAGGGAGUAAAGUUAAUACCUUGGCUCAUUGACGUUACCCGCAGAAGAAGCACCGGCUAACUCCGUG